rnacentral:rRNA from 1 species
ACGGGGCGCAGCAGGCGCGAAAACUCCGCAAUGUACUCAAGUACGAUGGGGUUAUCUCGAGUGCAGUCCGAUAAGGGCUGCUUUUCCACAGAGUAAUAUCCUGUGGGAAUAAGAGGGGGGCAAGACUGGUGUCAGCCGCCGCGGUAACACCAGCCCCUCGAGUGGUGGGGAUGAUUAUUUGGCCUAAAGCGUCCGUAGCCGGCCAGGUAGGUUUCCCGUUAAAUCCAACGUCUCAAGCGUUGGACUGCGGGAAAUACUGUCUGGCUAGAGAGUGGGAGAGGUAAGCGGUAUUCUGGGGGUAGGGGCGAAAUCCUUUGAUCCCCGGAGGACCACCAGUGGCGAAGGCUGCUUACUAGAACACGUCUGACGGUCAGGGACGAAAGCUGGGGUAGCGAACCGGAUUAGAUACCCGGGUAGUCCCAGCCGUAAACGAUGCAUGCCAGGUGUUGGGUUGGCCACGAGCCACCCCAGUGCCGCAGGGAAGCCGUUAAGCAUGCCGCCUGGGAAGUACGAUCGCAAGAUUGAAACUUAAAGGAAUUGGCGGGGGAGCA